GCUCACUGAGUUCAGUUUGUGCUGUCCAUAUAGUCAUGGUGUGGGGUCACCCACUGGAGCUUGGUUGACCUCCCUGGACACUUCCUCUCCUGGAAGUCAUCAACUGUCAACAGCACCUCAGAGUGGAGAGGCCAGCCUUGAGAUUACCAGCUCUGGGGAGAAAUCUAAGCUACCAGUUGGAGUAUAUCGACAUUAGAGGCAAGAGGUCUUGUUACACCUGAUUGGAAAUCAAGAUGUAAAACUCACAGUUCCUUCUCCAGCCACGUCUGCCUCUUUGCUGCCAUAUCCUCCCAUGAUGUCAAUGGAGCAAACUCCAGAAAGUUUGAGGCUCCCCUGUGGCCAAACGCAGAUUGAAGCCAGGAGGCGGGAAGUCCUCAGAGAUGACGGAUUUCGAUCACCCCGCUGACACGGGAGGUUACAUGACCACCGAUGACGACCUUGUUGUGACUACCUGAUGACUACCUUAUUUUGCCCACGGUGCAACCAUGUCUUCGUUUCAGGAGACUAACCUGUUAGGCUAAUAUACUGCUCCUGUAACACUGUGUACUUUGCCUUCCAGACCCCGCAUUUGGAAACCCCCUACCUCUGAGCUAUGAAAACCUUGUCUUUUUCAUAGCCUUUCAUCCAAGGCUAACCUCUCAAACUCUGCCUUAGGAGGAUGUACCUUAUGUACACAAAUAAAAACUCUUGCUAUAA